CGCGGAGUGAAGCAGUGGUUGCUUGCGAGUCUCAUAAGCUCGUCUAGGUAGGUUCGAUUCCUAUCUCCGCUA
rnacentral:tRNA from 1 species